rnacentral:rRNA from 1 species
AACGUAGGAGACAAACGUUAUCCGGAGUUACUGGGCGUAAAGGGCGUGUAGGUGGUUACGUAAGUCUGGCGUGAAAUUUUUCGGCUUAACCGGGAAAGGUCGUCGGAUACUGCGGGACUAGAGGACGGUAGAGGCGUGUGGAAUUCCGGGUGUAGUGGUGAAAUGCGCAGAUAUCAGGAGGAACACCAAUUGCGAAGGCAGCUCGCUGGGACGUUACUGACGCUGAGACGCGAAAGCGUGGGGAGCAAACAGG